rnacentral:rRNA from 1 species
GACGAACGCUGGCGGCGUGCUUAACACAUGCAAGUCGAACGAUGAAGAAGAGAAACGCGAACUUCGGUUCAAAUUUCACUUCGGAUUAGUGGCAGACGGGUGAGUAACGCGUGAGCAACCUACCUCUUACAAAGGGAUAGCCUCGGGAAACCGUGAUUAAUACCAUAUGACACAUUCAUAAGGCAUCUUAAGAAUGUUAAAGCUACGGCGGUAAGAGAUGGGCUCGCGUCCCAUUAGCUAGUUGGUGAGGUAACGGCCCACCAAGGCGACGAUGGGUAACCGGACUGAGAGGGUGAACGGUCACAUUGGAACUGAGACACGGUCCAAACUCCUACGGGAGGCAGCAGUGGGGAAUAUUGCACAAUGGAGGGAACUCUGAUGCAGCGACGCCGCGUGAGCGAUGAAGGAAUUCGUGUCGUAAAGCUCUGUUCUAUGGGAAGAAAAGGACUGUACCAUAGGAGAAAGCCCCGGCUAAAUACGUG